rnacentral:lncRNA from 1 species
GGACUUUUCUUUGGCUUGUAACGUAGGUUUGGGGCUGGUAUGAUGCAUAAGGAUAUUUAAAGUGACUAAGCCUUCUUGGCACUACACUAAUUUUUAGGGUUCACACUUAACCAAUUUUUCACUUUAUUUUCGCCCUUAUUUCUUCCUCUUUAUUUUAAAGCAUAUUCAGGUUGGGUGUGGUCUUCUAGUCUUUCUUUUUCUCUUUUUAACAAAUUUUCUUUUCUUUUUUUUUCUUUUCU